GCCUGGAUAGCUCAAUUGGUUAGAGCGUGGUGUUGAUAAUACCAAAGUUGCAGGUUCAAGGCCCAUAUGGGACA